GGGCUUCAUGGCACCACACUUAAAGAUGGUAGAUAUUAUGUAUGUUGUAUUUUACUGCCAUUUUUAAAAAAGUGCUUGAAGAUUGUAAUGAAUUUAUGUAACAUGCAAUGCCACUAGCCUGCGGUAGAGGGCAAAGGCACUCAAACUUCACUGAAAAGCUUGACUGCAGUGCCCCUACUGCCAGUCCAGCCCUGUCAACGAACCAUCCACACCUGCAGCUCUGCUGGAGCCUCUGCAAGCCACAGGGCGAUCCAGAUUGCUUCUGCCACCAACCUGAAGACAUAUGGAGCCAUAAGGACAGGAACCAUUCUGUUUAUUUCUAUGUUUUGGACCUUCCAUGUAUAUGCGAUUUUGAACUCCUCUUCAUCGUUCAUAUGAGGGAACCCGUG
ensembl:lncRNA